GGUUUUAUAUUCAUAAAAUGAUUUUAGACUGCAAUUCUAAAGGUGUAAUUAUACUAAGACCU
rnacentral:tRNA from 1 species